GAAAUGCGAUACGUAGUGUGAAUUGCAGAAUUCAGUGAAUCAUCGAAUCUUUGAACGCACAUUGCGCCCUUUGGUAUUCCAAAGGGCAUGCCUGUUCGAGCAUCAUUUGUACCCUCAAGCUUUGCUUGGUGUUGGGCGUUUUUGUCUUUGGCCCGCCAAAGACUCGCCUUAAAAUGAUUGGCAGCCGGCCUACUGGUUUCGCAGCGCAGCACAUUUUUGCGCUUGCAAUCAGCAAAAGAGGACGGCAAUCCAUCAAGACUCCUUCUCACGUUUGACCUCGGAUCAGGUAGGGAUACCCGCUGAACUUAAGC
rnacentral:misc_RNA from 1 species